rnacentral:ncRNA from 1 species
GAAACCUCAUCUUGCAAGCGCCAUCCGGGCGCCAGAGCAGUGUUUUUUAUAAAACACGGACAUUCCCGUCCGGGUGAGGAGAAAUG